rnacentral:lncRNA from 1 species
CCAAGGACUGGUCUGCAGGAAGUAAGCAGAUGCACAGUUAAGAAAGCCCAUAUCAGGAGUUAGUCAUGAUAGAGAAGGAUUUGUACACUUUGGAAAUCGUAAAAGAAUGAAAAGCCCAGGUCUUUAUUUCCGUGUUUUCGCCUCUGUUUUUCACGUUCCUCCCGGAUUUCAAUUUCCUUCUGGAAUCUCAGCUCUCUUCAUCAUCUGCUCUUGCAGGAACACUAAACUGCAAACGCAACCCUACGAUUCAGGGAACUACGUCCCAUCAAGAUUAGUGGCUUCUGAGCGACCCUUGAAGAAAUUGACGGAAAACGGGAGGAAUUACCGCCAGUUCCUCUCCACGGGCGGUCAAGGCCAAUAUGAGUCUCCACCCCGGCUCCUCUGCUCGUAACUUCUAGCACAGUUCCCACUGUGUUCGCCCAUGUUUCCCGAAAGUGAAUAUUUGAUCCCUACCCCACCCCAUUUUUAGCAAACUCAGGAAAACGCUCUCGUUUUUCUACCUGAAAAGGGCACUUUAGAGAAAUACGUCCCGUUACAGUCUUUGUGUUCGCAUUUUAUUCCAUCUCGAUGAAACAGGUAUAAGUUCGUUGGUAUUUUAUGCACAAGACAACUUUGAAGCCCGACUCAUGGCCUUUGGCCUUUAGAUUAGGAAACAUUCUCCGGGAGCUCUGCUGAUCGCUAGGUCUUACGAGGUUGACGCCUUCUGUCCCAAAGAGAACUAUUUCUCUGCGUGUUUCCGCCUGGCUGCCCACUUCUCCAGUAGAGAAACGGCUGUUGCUCGGGAUUCAUUUUUGGAAGUGCUUUGGGUCCUGGGUAAUGAGGCCGCAUCCUGCAGCAUCGACAAGGUGGUUGAAUACGCAGGAGCACCCACAGUACCCAGGGACCAAUAAAUAGCUCAGUAGACCCAUUUCGAAUAAUUGAAUAAAGGAAGUCUCAACCAACCCCCUUGUUGUAUUACAGAUGGUCCACCUCUCUGCCUAGACUAUUGUGCUGACGUCCUGUUCCUUCUCCUGGCUUUUGAACUAGAUUCUCACCUCUCUCCAAUCCAUCUUUCGCGGGGCUGGCCUGUCUUUCCGCCUCACUUCUGAAAUUCAAUCCAUUGCCGCCUCUAUGCAAACCGACUCUGGUUAAUACUUCACUCGGUAUGGCUCCCCUCUUCCUUCCGCACUUUGCACUGCGAGAAAUGCCCUUCCUUGAGUCAGCUGGAGGCCUCCUUCUGCUGAGAGCUUAGUUGUGGACACAGCCUGGAGUAGAGGCGAAAAGGAAAGAAGGCCGGGAGAUAAUCGGGGAAACACACACACCUUUCGUGUGGUUUGAAAGCUGGUGCCCGAAAAGGGGAGCGAAAGAAACAAGAAAAAAAACACGCUCCAGAAGUGUCUGAGAUUGCUGCGGCCAUAAAGGAGAGAGCACUAACCGCGGUACGGAUACGGGAGGGGAGGAGGGCUCCACCCCCGGGCCUGUGCCCACGGACCUAGGUGAG